GAGUUUGAUCAUGGCUCAGAGCGAACGCUGGCGGCAGGCCUAACACAUGCAAGUCGAACGAACUCUUCGGAGUUAGUGGCGGACGGGUGAGUAACACGUGGGAACGUGCCUUUUGGUUCGGAAUAACUCAGGGAAACUUGUGCUAAUACCCGAAUGUGCCCCUUCGGGGUAAAGGAGUUUAUACGCCAUUAGAGCGGCCCGCGUCUGAUUAGCUAGUUGGUGAGGUAAAGGCUCACCAAGGCGACGAUCAG
rnacentral:rRNA from 1 species